UUACGGCAACAUCAGGUUGAAAAACUGGUUCCUGUAAGAUCACCGGAGUUAAGUAACAUCGACCCUGGUCAGUACUUAAAUGGAUGACCGCUUGGGAAUACUAGAUACUGCAA